GCCGGAGUGGCGAAAUGGCAGACGCGGUGCACUCAAAAUGCAUUGCUGAAAGGCGUGGGAGUUCGAGUCUCCCCUCCGGCACCA
rnacentral:tRNA from 1 species